rnacentral:rRNA from 1 species
UACGAAGGGGGCUAGCGUUGUUCGGAAUUACUGGGCGUAAAGCGCGCGCAGGUGGUCUUUCAAGUCAGUGGUGAAAGCCCGGAGCCCAACUCCGGAAAUGCCAUUGAAACUGUAAGACUUGAGGAUGAGAGAGGUGAGUGGAAUUCCCAGUGUAGAGGUGAAAUUCGUAGAUAUUGGGAAGAACACCGGUGGCGAAGGCGGCUCACUGGCUCAUAUCUGACGCUCAGGCGCGACAGCGUGGGGAUCAAACAGG